AGCUGCUUCUGUCAGUAGCUGUGGGCUGGAAAUGGGAUGCUGAGGGCUGUGGGAGCCUGACCUGUGUCCCUGCUUCCCCCUUUUCCCCUUUCUUAGAGCUUUUAUAGCAGGAGAUGGAAAAACUCAGCCUCUUUUGCCAUGAUUAUUCUGUAUAUUGGAGUAACACCCCAGUGGCUGGAAUCUCUUCUUUUAUGAGCUGCUCACAGAGUGAACAGCAGCCCUUUCCCCCAAGGGCUUGAGUUUUGUGUGGUCAGCUACAACAGGUGCCACAAGCCAGCAGACAGACCUCAGCGUGGCCCCUGGUUUAGCUGCUGCCGUGGCAAAGGAGAGCCCUGGGAGGGGAUCUGAGGGAUGCUGAGGGAUGAGGGAUGGUGUCCCUGUGGGUGCUCAUAGCAAAUGUGAGAGAAAUUUCAGUAGCCAUGCCCCAAAACCACCCAACCCACAACCAAAAACGCUGCCGCAGCAGCUGAAACGCGGGAUGAGCACACCCGGGCUGCACGCGGGUAGGAAAAAUUUGGCUGUGGGAUGUGAAAGGGGACCCCGAGUGCUGGCUCGAUUUGCACGCUUAGGCCCCAUCACCCGUGAGAAGCAGCUGCCCAGCUGGGAGCCGGCCCUUUGGUAAUGGCCUGCGAAUUUCCCCGGGCUCUGCUAAUUGCAGCCCGGCUGCUAGUUACAGCUCCCGGUCAAUUGCUGGGAGCACUGGGCCCUGCAGAACAACCCCUUGAAAUGGGUUGUUAGCCCAAUUAACAACCAGUUUGGCUUCGGUUCAGGCUGUUAACCAUCAAACAGCUAACUGCUGGUAAUGAUUGAUUUCGGAGGAGCCAACCUGCUUCACAAAGCACCAUUAAAGCCAAGGCUCUGGGAGCGCAGCUGGCUCGGACAAACGCGAGAGCUGUCCCUUGCCAUGGAACAGACAAGGCUGUGGCCAGGCUUUCUGCCCAUUUUGGUUAACGUAUGGGGUCAUCGUAGCAUUUUGGGAUGAACUGGCGAGCCAGCUCUGCUGGCACGUGAUGCUCAGGUGGGCAGCCCCUUGUCCCCAUGGAUUAUCAGGGCAUCCAACGCCUCCUUGGAUGGAGAGCUCUUGGUGUCCAGGUCUCUUCCCCAGCUGCUCUUCCACCCAGUGAAUCUGCAAAGACGAGUUUGUCUGAUUUAGACGUUCAGGUGUUUCCACAAAUCACCUGGGCCCUUUCCAUCUGCACAGCCAGCUGGGGGCUCCUACAGGGAGGGCAGGGCCCACCAGCAUAUGCAAGCCUGGGAGUGCCUCCAGAGCAGCCUGGGAUGCUGGCCUGAGCCUGCUGGUGGGCAAUGCAGACACAUCUGCAGAUGCCCUGUUUCUCCACCACGCACUGGCAGUUUGCUUCUAACACGUUGCUGGUGCUACAUCAAGGGCUUUGCGGGGAUGUUUCCCCCCUGAUCAAAGUGGCCGAUUCAAGCUGCAGCAUGUACGGGGAGGAGGGAGGCAGCCACCUGUUUGGGAAGCGCUUUGAAAACGCAGAGGACGUGCUGCAGAGGUUGACCUUGUGAAACGGACACUGCAGAGUGGUGCAGGGCUCGGAGCAAGUGCUUGGCAUUCAAAACCUCAGUUCUUGAGUGUUUGAGGGUAUUCAGGGGGCUGUGGUGCUGCCAGGGCCAUGGCACAGCAACCAGAGCUCUGGUUUUGAAGCUGGGUCCCAGUGGCUUCCAGCAGGACAAGGAGCUCCUGAUUCUCACAAAGGGCAAAAAAGAGAAGUUUGGGUAAGCAGGAGAGCUGAGAGCCCAGCUUUCCCACUCCCUGUUCUGUGAGCAGAUGGAUUUGCAGCACGUGUAUUUAGCUAUUUAGGUUGAAUGUGGCAAUCCUGGCCGGUGCAUCUUCUGCCCGUCCUGCUCCCUCUGCAGCUGCUGCUAAGUGCAUCCCUCCAGGAGAUGAGGAUGGGAGCUUGUCACCUGCUGGAGCUGGGGGAGCUCCGUCCGCUCGGGCUUUUUCUGUAAACCAGAGAAAGUCAGUUAUAAACAGCAGGCGUUGGUUUUGUUGGGGGCUUUUUUUAGACGCUGAAAAUGCUCCAUCAUCAUCAGGCUGGCUCUGCUUUCAGCAGCCAGCACGACCGAGCCAAACUCUCAGCAGAGAAUCCAGCAGGAGAAGUAACACAACCUUUCCAGGGCUAUUUCACUGAAGUCCUGUGUCCUCGUUCCACAUCAUAGCUUGUGCCACAGCAGCUGAUGCUCUUCUGGGCCCUGCACGGAGGCAGGGGUGAGCACCAAGGAGCUCGCAGCUGGGGCUGGGAGCAAGUGGCACAGCCCCAUUUCAGAGAAGGAGUGGAGGGAGUCAGAGCACAGAAGGAUUAAGGUCUGAAAGGACUCCUGGCAGAGCUGGGAAUCAGCUGAAUCAGUCUGCGAGAGGCCAAGAAAAGGUAUGGAAGUGGUCCAGAGGGGGAAGCAAUGUCUAUAUGCAAUAAUCUGAGCUAUAAAUGAAGUAAAAAACCACAGAACUGAUCUUUUGCUAAACCUCAGGUCCAAUUCCCCAGCUCUGAGUGAAGGUUGGACUUUGUCCCACAUCCCUAGUGGAAGAACCCUGUCUUCAUACAGGAGCAGAUUUUAAAUUCGUGGGGAUUACCCUGACUGCCUGGUCCAGUCCCCUGCAAUACCCUGAUGAGAGGAUCCUGCUCAGUAUCCUCUGAGUGAAAGCUGUAGUCCUCGGUUACAGACAAGUAAGGAAGGAAGGAUAUCCUGCAAGGAUUCCGUAUUUCAAUAUUAUCUGGUGUUUCUGACUUGAAAUUGCCCAACUUCAGCUCCUGGCACUUGAUCUUGCGCUCUUUUCUUCUUUACCAUGCCAUCCAACUUGACCAAGCUUCUGCAGGCACUGAAAGCAGGUUUUCCAAGCCUCUCUCACCUCUGGGAGCUAUUUUUUAAAGCUGAUUCCCAUCUGUCAACGUCUCUUGUGAAGUGGAGCCAAGUGUUUUGGCCGCAGCACCUGGCAGGGGAGCCCAUCAUUGCCUUGCUUGUGUCCAGCGCCUUGGGAGGACGAGCGAUGCGGUGGCCACCCACCGGUGUGAUCACCCUCACCCGGGGCUGAUGUUUUCCCAAAAUUUCCUGCAGGGACUUCCAGACAGCUCGAGGCUGACUGUGGAGCUCUGACCCUCGUUCAGUCAGGCCCGCUGUGCCUCUGCCAGUUUUGAAGAGCAGAGGUACGGAUGAUGCCCACGGGAGGCACAGCUAAAGCAUGGUUACGGUCUCCCAUCCCUCAUUUCCUGCUGCAAAGGCUACAGCACAUCUCCAAAGCAAAGGCAGCGUUACUUUCAUAAUGAAUCCUGAAAUCCUGACCAUCACAGUUGCCCAGGAGGGCUCCGUCUCUGGUCAUUGAAACGUUCAGCUGGUGAAGUCAGAGUUAUUUUUGCUCUCCGUUGUGACAGAGUAAAUCUGCAGUCAUUCCCCUGACUUCAGUAGACUCGCUCUGAGAGAAGAGGUUUGUGCAACCUAAUUAUCUUCAGUGCCUGUAUUUGCAAUUUUUCUAUGCCCGGUCAUCACAGCGAGCGCAGAGGCUUUCAUACAGCCACAGGUUUUGGCAGAGUCUGCGCUUGGAGAGCGGUUUGCCAUCUGCAGGUGCUGUCCUGGAGCACUUGCCUGGGAGCAACCAAAGGAUGGAGAGGGUCUGACCAGGGAGAGGAAAGGACAGUGCUGUGGAAACCCCAAAUCCAAAAGGACACGGCUAUGACUUGUUGCAAUAUGUGCAGAACCUGGUGCACUGACCUGCAUCCCACCACUAUUAAUGGUAGGAAAACCAUUUUCCUGCUGCUCGCUGCUGGGUGGUGAAGGGGCAUCCCCAGACCCAGCGACUGGAGGAGCAGGAGGGGAGGGCAGUGGUUGCUGAUACACAGGGGGCUCGGAGAAGUGCCCGCACUUCACUGCCUCUCAGAGCGAUCGCUGCGAGGAGCUGAGGGUUUCACCACCUCCCCUCGCCGGGUUUCACUCUGCACUUGACACCGGCGCGGGGGGAUUACUUGUGCUUGAUGGCUGUCUCCACUGCAGAGCUGCCUGUCCAGCACCAGGGCAUCGCAAGGAGGAGAUGUGAUGUUCCCAGAACCAGGCUGAGCACCAGAGCACCGUUAUUGGUAAGAUGUGGCAUGGAGGUGUCCCCAUGGGACGUGCCACCAGCUGGAGUGGUGGGAUGGAGCAACCCCCAGGCCAUCAUGGUCCCAGUAACUCCAGUCACCAGACUUCAUCUGGGGCUCCCUGAGGAAGCCAGCUUGCCUUGGCCUCAGUGAGGAUGAGAAACUUCCCAACAGGGAGAAAAAAAUUACAGCUAUUUUUGUCUCUAACCAUGAAGCUCCGUGAGCUAGGAUUUUGGACAAGCCCUCGGCACUGUGACUUGGGACACCUUACGGGUGGUGAGGACGUGGCUUUUCUUUUGUAUUUGCUACCUGUGGUGUGGGAGGCUCUCCUGGUGGUGUGAGCUAAAGGACAAGAACUGGAGGGGACAGCUGGUUGCUACAGAGGGGGAAACACUGAAGCUCUUAGCUGCUGUAUUUUUUUUAGAGAUACGUUUUUUUAUGGAAGCAAAUCUUUCCCCAUCAAUACAGUGAAUUAGCACGUCUGCCAACAGCCCAUAUAUAUAUAUUUUUAAGAUUGGAGGCAGCAGGGGGAAUGUCAGGAUGCUGCAGGGCAGUGCCGUAGUCUUGGCUGCAAUCUGAGUGCCCAAAUUGCUGGCGAGAGCUGUUGGUGCUGUCAUGGAUGGCAACAGGUCUCCUUGAGUUAUUCGGCCUGCUUUGAGCUGCUAAGGAAAUGCUCCAGUUUCAGGGAAGGUCCGACACCCAGCUCAGCCUGCUUAACCUCAGCAGCGAUCUCGGGGCAGGGAAGGCAGAAGCGGCCGGCGAAGGCAGCAGCUUUGCUGAGGAAAUGCAUUUAAUUUGAUCCGCACUGCACUUUUUUGUUGGAAAAAACGUUGAUGCAGUAACAUUCUGCACAGUAACUAGGGGUGGAUUAAAGGUCACAGAGAUAAUGCAGCAUGCUGAAUUCACAGGCAGCAGAUGGGAAGAGUCCUAGGCUCUCUGGGAAUGUUUCCCUGAAGUGUCUUCUCUGCAGCUUUGUGGGGUCUACCAAAAGACGGGCUGUGCAUCUCGUUCCUAGCAGGUUGCAGUCUUUCCUGGGCCUUUUCCCUGACAUUUAUCUACAUUUCUCUUUGCUUGGUUUAUCCUGACAGCCCAGUUAAUGCAGGUCUUUGCGGUGCCGACUGUGCUCAGCCACCCUGGAAGCCGUUUUUCCAUGCACUCAGCUGGGUUUUGCUGCUGGGUGAGGGUAGGAGAGGAUUUCCCCAAUUUACUGGGACUUUUGCGCACGCUUGAGGUUCAUGCAAAAAGUUCACGCGUAAAACAGAGGUGAUGCCAAACUCACAGGUCACUGGAAGUUUAAUGCAAGCUUCCGAAAGGUUUUGGGGCGUGCAGUGAAGGAUGCUGCAGUGCAGAUCAUUUCAUCGUUAUCACCCAGUGGAGAAAAACGCAGGGCUCGCCGUGACAGCUACUGAAACAGCACAGCAAAAAUAAAGAGUUCCAGCAGUGAAGUAGGCUGGUGAUGCAGGCAGCCCCCCCCAGUAUUUUAUGCUCUGUCCCAGCAGAGGGAGCCCGAGUUUAUUAACAAAUCCCGAUCCCGGAGAUAGCCGCUAUCAAGGUGGUACCAAACGCCGGGCAGGAUGCGCGCUGGCGGAGGAAGGAUGCAGGAGAUGGAGCGGUGAUGCUCAAACCAGGGCUGUGUUUCCAACCAGGGAAACGAGCUAAAGGCUCACCAGGAGGCCCUGCAAGUAACUCUGCUCUCUAGGAUGUUGCAACCAUGGGAGAUGGCUUGCAAGAGAGUCAGAGGACUUGCUUGCUGCAUGGGGAAAAAGUUUUGCACGGAAAGGCGCAGCAGAGCCACGCUAAGCUGGGUGUGCUGAGCUUAGUUUGCUUCAGAGACUUCCCUCAAGGUGCAGACAGAGACCUGUGUGUCUGAAUUUGUACCGGGCUGGCCAAUGUCAAUCCUGUCACCUAGACAUUUCCCCCAGCAGUAUGCAAAACCAUUCAUCACUGUCAUGCCAAAUCCGUAGGCUGCAAGGCAAUGCUCAAAUAACCAGAGUUAGGCACAAGGCAGUGGCUCUGAUCCAUGGCUUUUUGAACCCAAGGGGAGCAUUUGAACAAAUUUCCCUGAGAUUUUGAGGCUCUGUGUUAGUGCUGGGAGGUAUCCAUUUAAGGGACAGGAGCAGUUUCAGUGCACAGUCCUCUCGGAGCUUGUGGGAAGCCUGUAAGUUUUCUCUGCUGAUGAUGGGAGAUGGAACAUCACCUGGGGGCACAGAAGGCUCUGUCCCACAGCAAGUAGCAGCACUGGUGCCGUGGGUGCACCACGGGUUUGAGAUUAUCGAGGAGAAGAGAAGUGAUGCAGCUGGAACAUGGGAGAGUGGCAGAUCAUUUUUGCUCAAAUCCCAAAAUAAUUUAAAUCAAUGCAAAGCCUUGAGCGAGCUUGACCAAGCCGAGACACUUGUUUUAGAAGACGGACAACAAACUGGGAUGUUUCAGGGCACGGGGAUGGGAAGGCAGACGACUCAGGCUUCACUGCAGGAAGCAGCAGACGGACAUUUUCCAAUGCAACUUUUGGAAAGAAGGUUAAAUUUCUCCGAGAUAAGGAGAGCUUCAGCGAGCUGGAAUGCAUAACAACCCCCCCGGCCCAGCUCAUCCUAUGAUAACAGCUGUCGUGUUGGAAACCUAAUGCUGAUGAAAGAGUUAAAGGCUGGUUGAUGGGCAAUAUCGGUGACACACCUCUGAAUUGAGCAUACUCCUGGAGUGAGACUGCGGACUGGUGUUACUCAAUGAAUAGAGGCCACUCCAAGGGAGUUUUUCCUUGAAUAGAAUGGGGUCAGGGAGCCGCUUUGGGGAACAAUGGCUGCCACCGGCUAGCUGAAUUUCUUACAAUCACACACCAUACCCCCUGAUCAAAUAGCUCCUUUGUCAGCCUGAUAUAAAAACAUGUCAUACAAUGAUGAUCUGGAAGAAUGACAUGAGCUGGCCUUUCAAAGAGAUCAGAAGGGCUUGUUUUGCACAAAAAGAGCCCCCAUCAGAGUCAAGACAGGAAAAAAAUGGAGAAUAAAAGGGGGUGAAUGGAAACAAA